GUAGGGAAUCUUCCACAAUGGACGAAAGUCUGAUGGAGCAACGCCGCGUGAGUGAAGAAGGUCUUCGGAUCGUAAAACUCUGUUGUUAGAGAAGAACGUGCGUGAUAGUAACUGAUCAUGUAAUGACGGUAUCUAACCAGAAAGCCACGGCUAACUACGUGCCAGCAGCCGCGGUAAUACGUAGGUGGCAAGCGUUGUCCGGAUUUAUUGGGCGUAAAGGGAACGCAGGCGGUUUUUUAAGUCUGAUGUGAAAGCCUUCGGCUUAACCGAAGAAUAGCAUUGGAAACUGGAAGACUUGAGUGCAGAAGAGGAGAGUGGAAUUCCAUGUGUAGCGGUGAAAUGCGUAGAUAUUAGGAGGAACACCAGUGGCGAAGGCGGCUUUCUGGACUGUAACUGACACUGAGGCACGAAAGCGUGGGGAGCAAACAGGAUUAGAAACCCUGGUAGUCC
rnacentral:rRNA from 1 species